UAUUAUUUUUAGAUAAGUAAAUCCUUGGGUUAGUAGUAGAUAUUUACUUAAAAGNUAAAAGAUUUGGCGGUAAUUAAAUCUUUCCAGAGGAACUUGUUUUUUAAUCGAUAAACCUCGAAUUAUCUUACUUAUUUUAGUAAAGUUUGUAUACCAUCAUUAUCAGGUAAUUUUAAAAAAAAAUAAUUUCUAAGAAUGAGUAUUUAGGAAAAUUAGAUCAUGGUGCAGCUAAUAAAUAAGUUAAAAUGAGUUACAAUAAAUUUUUUUAAACGGAUAGUUAAAGAAUAAAAACUAUGAAGGAGGAUUUGGUAGUAUUAAAAAUUUAAUAUGUUUUUAAGAUGAUAGCUCUUAAUUAUGUACAUAU
rnacentral:rRNA from 1 species